CCUCUUUCCAUUGCUCUUUUCGCUUCGAGAAACUUCUCCUCACGAUGAGAGCCAAGUGGAGGAAGAAGCGUAUGCGCAGGCUGAAGCGUAAAAGGAGAAAGAUGAGGCAGAGGUCAAAGUAAGCCCUCAUCCCUGCCAGCUGUGGUCCCGUCAGAGCUUCUUCAGAUGACUGACACAUGUAGCUGAAGUGGAUCACUUGGAGCCUGCAUCAGCAAAACGAAGACGACACGUGACUUCAGACGACCACCUUUCUCACGUAGCCAGCUGUGAAAGUCUGACGAAGGCAGCAACGACGCUGGACUGAUCUGUCAACAUCACAACUACAGCUGUCUAGUUCAUGGACCAUACAGAACAUCUCAACUGUUGUGGUGUUUUGAACAAUAAAUGUUUAAAAAUUU